rnacentral:ncRNA from 2 species
GCGUAUCGACAGGGGAGCGCCACCCGGGCGCUGAGAGUGCAUACGGAAGAGAUUCCCAGCAGACCCUCACACCUGAUCCGGUUCGCACCGGCGUAGGGAGUUGAGUUCUCAUACCC